rnacentral:rRNA from 1 species
UACGAAGGGAGCUAGCGUUGUUCGGAAUCACUGGGCGUAAAGCGCACGUAGGCGGAUGUGUCAGUCAGGGGUGAGAUCCCGGAGCUCAACUUCGGAACUGCCUUUGAUACAGCACGUCUUGAGUCCGGAAGAGGUGGGUGGAAUUCCUAGUGUAGAGGUGAAAUUCGUAGAUAUUAGGAAGAACACCGGUGGCGAAGGCGGCCCACUGGUCCGGUACUGACGCUGAGGUGCGAAAGCGUGGGGAGCAAACAGG